rnacentral:rRNA from 1 species
AUUGAACGCUGGCGGCAUGCCUUACACAUGCAAGUCGAACGGCAGCACGGGAGCAAUCCUGGUGGCGAGUGGCGAACGGGUGAGUAAAGUAUCGGAACGUGCCCAGUCGUGGGGGAUAACGUAGCGAAAGUUACGCUAAUACCGCAUACGAUCUAUGGAUGAAAGCGGGGGAUCGCAAGACCUCGCGCGAUUGGAGGGGCCGAUAUCAGAUUAGGUAGUUGGGGGAGUAAAGGCUCACCAGGCCGACGAUCUGUAGCUGGUCUGAGAGGACGACCAGCCACACUGGGACUGAGACACGGCCCAGACUCCUACGGGAGGCAGCAGUGGGGAAUUUUGGACAAUGGGGGAAAGCCUGAUCCAGCCAUGCCGCGUGCAGGAUGAAGGCCUUCGGGUUGUAAACUGCUUUUGUACGGAACGAAAAGGUUUGGCCUAAUAAGCUGAGCUCAUGACGGUACCGUAAGCAUAAGCACCGGCUAACUACGUGCCAGCAGCCGCCGUAA